rnacentral:rRNA from 1 species
UAAGGAAUAUUGGACAAUGGAGGCAACUCUGAUCCAGCCAUGCCGCGUGAAGGAAUAAGGCCCUAUGGGUUGUAAACUUCUUUUAGACGGGACAAAACCCCUUUACGUGUAAAGGGUUGAUGGUACUGUCAGAAUAAGCAUCGGCUAACUUCGUGCCAGCAGCCGCGGUAAUACGAAGGAUGCAAGCGUUAUCCGGAAUUAUUGGGUUUAAAGGGUGCGUAGGCGGACUAAUAAGUCCGUGGUGAAAGCCUGCAGCUUAACUGCAGAAUUGCCAUUGAUACUGUUAGUCUUGAGUACAGUUGAGGUAGGCGGAAUGUGUCAUGUAGCGGUGAAAUGCUUAGAUAUGACACAGAACACCGAUUGCGAAGGCAGCUUGCUAAGCUGUAACUGACGCUGAGGCACGAAAGCGUGGGGAGCAAACA